rnacentral:rRNA from 1 species
GACGAACGCUGGCGGCGUGCCUAAUACAUGCAAGUGGGACGCAAGGGAACACACUGUGCUUGCACACCGUGUUUUCUUGAGUCGCGAACGGGUGAGUAACGCGUAGGUAACCUGCCUAUUAGCGGGGGAUAACUAUUGGAAACGAUAGCUAAUACCGCAUAAUAUUAAUUAUUGCAUGAUAAUUGAUUGAAAGAUGCAAGCGCAUCACUAGUAGAUGGACCUGCGUUGUAUUAGCUAGUUGGAAAGGUAAGAGCUUACCAAGGCGACGAUACAUAGCCGACCUGAGAGGGUGAUCGGCCACACUGGGACUGAGACACGGCCCAGACUCCUACGGGAGGCAGCAGUAGGGAAUCUUCGGCAAUGGACGAAAGUCUGACCGAGCAACGCCGCGUGAGUGAAGAAGGUUUUCGGAUCGUAAAGCUCUGUUGUAAGUCAAGAACGUGUGUGAGAGUGGAAAGUUCACACAGUGACGGAGCUACCAGAAAG